rnacentral:lncRNA from 1 species
CCACGCGCGUUCCGAAAGCAGAUGCAAGGCAUCUUAUCAGCGCCGUAAUUUUAAUACCACCGCGAGAAGUCGUUUGCAAUGCGAAGAGUCGAUUCUGCCGUCGCACACUGGCGGGUGGGCGGAAACAAUUCAGGAGGUGGACAAAUUUUUUUCCAACCAGACAGCAAAAGUAUCUGAAUGAUUUUGUAGCUUAUGCUACAGACUAUCAAGUUGUAGCAUCAAUUUUAUUUACUCCUCCCUCAAUGAUUUUUCAAACAGACCCUUUGUCGGGCAUCGAAGAAAAUAGCUACUUUUGGUGCUAAAGUGGUCUUCGCCUACAAGUCAAUAGCAAGAUUUUUUUUUCAAAAACCGACAUUAUACUCUGUAAGUGCGUAGUCUAAGCUACAAAUUAUAUAUUAACAUGCUCAUAAAAAUCUCUUAUUCGUGCCAAUAUUGACACUUGAACCUAGGUGAAGAAAAAUGCGAUUUUUUGUUUGUUUUAGGUUUCAUUUUAAAAAAAAGCUCCACUGAGCUCCACUUUGAGACUUAUAUAGGCUCAUAGGUAAUAGUCUGAAGAGUAAAUGGUGAAAAAAGAUUUUGCAGAUAGCUGCAGGUAGAGAGCGUAGUGAGCGUAGGUGCGAGUUGGGAGAUGAGAAAUUCGGCGCGUCGCCGCCGCGCUGACAUCACUGCGUUUGGCGCAAUGCGUGAAGUAUUCAUGCAGUCUUGUAGGCGCUAUGCGUUUCACGCUGCCCGCUGCUGACCGCAGCACCGCACGGCGCACUGUCUUUGGCGCAAUGCGUGAAGUAUUCAUGCAGUCUUGUAGGCGCUAAUAUGUGUUACAUGCCGACCGCCGCGUCGCACCACAGCACGUCGCGCGUCGCUCCUAUACGACUCUUUCAGCGAUGACAUUUUUAUCUCAUUUUUGACCUAAUCUAAGGAACAUGGACACGAUACGGAAUCAAAAAACCCUUUUAAAACAAUGACUUCUCCAAGUGAUGGGCAUGUCAUGGGUCAAGAAACCGGGCAUUUAGUCGGUGAUUUAUACCUUCGAAAGAAGCUCGAUGUUACGAUUAUACACGCGGAUCUAUGCAAUGCUUUAUUUGCAGAAUAUAACGUGGUGAAGUUUAUUGAAAGCAAACACAAGAAUUUAAGUGACAGACAUAAAAAUUUUGUUAUUGGAGAAGUGAAAAACUAUUUGUUCCUCACUUUAAAAGCAAAUGGAAGCAAGUGCAUCGAACACUGGAAAAAAAAAUACUUCGAGUUAAAAUUUAAAAAGUGGCUCACUUCCAAUGCCUAUACAAUUUAUGGUUUUAAAAAAUUGUAUUUUGGCAAUGAGUUACUUGUUCUCGUUUCCUAUACACGUUUUAACAGUAUUAGUCAGGACAGUUUCGACAUCAUUUACUUAUUGCAUUGCAGUGCUCAAAAAUUGUGAAGGGGGGGGGGAGUUGGUGUUUACAACUUUAAAAAUGAUUUCCGAUAAUCAAGUGAUCAUACCAAACUACUACUUGCCAUGUGUUAAAUUAAGCAUUUCAACAAUUUGGAAUUAUUGCCGCAAAAGCGUGACUACCCGCCAGUGUGCGCCGCAUGAGCCUUCAGGCGUUGCCAAAUUUCCUCUGAUAAAACACGAAUUUCCUAGGAAACUUAUGACUAUUUUCCUGCAAAUUUUUCAGAUAAUUUUGUUCGUAAUUUCACCAAUAGUUCCUGAAAAUUCGAGGGAAAAU